rnacentral:misc_RNA from 1 species
UCCCUUCUCUCCUUCCUUUUCCUUUCCUCCUUCCUUUCCUCCUCUCCUCUUUUCCCUCCCCUUUCUCUCCUUUUUCUUCCUUUUCUCCUUCCUUUUUUCUUCUCCUUCCCUCUUCAAAGUAAAUCUUUUUUUAACUCAAUUGGUUUCUACUUUGGUAUUGGAGGUCUUUGCAGCUUCACACCUGCUCCUCUUUGUUCAUUAGCUGGAUCUCAGUGUUAUGCUUGGUUCCACUCGGCGUGAUAAGUUAUCUAUCGCUGAGGACACUGUAAAAGGUGGCCAAGGUAAAUGCAGAUGAACCGCUUCUAAUAGUCCAUUGACUUGGACAAUACUUUUAUGAUCUGAUCUCAAAUCAGGUAGGACUACCCGCUGAACUUAAGC